rnacentral:rRNA from 1 species
UACGUAGGGGGCGUAGCGUUGUCCGGAUUUUAUUGGGCGUAAAGAGCGUGUAGGCGGCCAGGUAGGUCUGCUGUGAAAAACUCGAGGCUCAACCUCGAGACGUCGGCGGAAACCAUCUGGCUAGAGUCCGGAAGAGGAGAGUGGAAUUCCUGGUGUAGCGGUGAAGUGCGCAGAUAUCAGGAAGAACACCCGUGGCGAAGGCGGCUCUCUGGGACGGUACUGACGCUGAGGAGCGAAAAGCGUGGGGAGCGAACAGG